GUGUUCCCCAGAGUUCCCCUGACCACUUCAAUAUGAUGGAUUUCAUCACUUUUUUUAGUCAGAAUCUCUAUUAAUUCCUCCCCAUUGAAGUGUUUGGAGGAACUCCCGGAAUCAC
rnacentral:pre_miRNA from 1 species